GACGAACGCUGGCGGCGUGCUUAACACAUGCAAGUCGAACGGAAAGGCCCUGCUUUUGUGGGGUGCUCGAGUGGCGAACGGGUGAGUAACACGUGAGUAACCUGCCCUUGACUUUGGGAUAACUUCAGGAAACUGGGGCUAAUACCGGAUAGGAGCUCCUGCUGCAUGGUGGGGGUUGGAAAGUUUCGGCGGUUGGGGAUGGACUCGCGGUUUAUCAGCUUGUUGGUGGGGUAGUGGCUUACCAAGGCUUGGACGGGUAGCCGGCCUGGGAGGGUGACCGGCAACAGGGGCCCUAGGGAGCGACCCGGGGGCCAACGGGGGCAAGGGGUGGGAACUUUUUCAAACUGGCCGGAGGGCGUGAAGAAGACCUCCGGGUGGGGAUGACGUCCUUCGGGUUGUAAACCGCUUUCGCCUGUGACGAAGCGUGAGUGACGGUAAUGGGUAAAGAAGCACCGGCUAACUACGUG
rnacentral:rRNA from 1 species